rnacentral:tRNA from 1 species
UCCCUGGUGAUCCAGUGGCUAAGAUUCUGCAUUUCGAAUGCAGGGGGUCCUGGGUUCCAUCCCUGGUCAGGAAA